rnacentral:lncRNA from 1 species
UAAACAUAACAAUCUCUAAUAACUAGUCCUACCGACUUUCACAUUUUCCUUUAUUAAAAACAUACGUUUUAACAUCAACAUUGUCUAUAUCAUCGUCAUAACACAAUAUGUCUAUUUCUAUGUAUCAUCUUACCAUGUGUUGUUAAUCAUAACUCAAUGCAUCAAUAGAACUGUAACAACUUAAACAGUUCAAUAACAUAACAGUUCAUUCACAAAAGCA